rnacentral:lncRNA from 1 species
AUAGCAAUAUAAAAGAAUAAGGACCAAAUGUUAUACAAAAGAAUCAGGGUGAAAAAAACGUUAAUUGAUUCAAGGGUAAAAUUAGAAAAGAAAAGGAAAAAACUAACAUUUUUUAAAAAAUUAAGUUAAGAAUCUAAAAUAAAAAAAAAAGAUCAAAUCUGAAAGCGAAACAAAAUAAGAGGAAAAAUAGUAUUUCAAUGUUAGAGAAUAAAAAAAAAUCAAUUUGAUAAAAGCCCCCC